GAACCCAUGUGCUGGAUUAAAGAUGGUGGAGGAGCUGGAAGGACGUGGGGCACUAGGGUCUCAAGCCCCCAGUGUCACCGGAAAAAAAACGUGACUGAAAAGGGAGAUCCACCUCCAACCUCUUGGAAACUGAUGCAGCUCAGCUGGAGACCACCAGACCUUCACGGGAGCUGGGCAUUGAGGGUGAAAAAGGGAUCCAGAUUUAACACUUCCCCAGCCCUCCUCGCACCCAGAGCCUCAGUCCCUCUUCUGUAAAGUGGAGGUUUCAACUUGCCCCCUCUAGGGCUGGUUAGAGGAUUUUGGGGUCCCUGAAUGACAUCCCCCUCUGCUGGCAAUCUGUGACUUGUCCUUCAAGACUUCUCUAGUUGGCACCUCUCCCAAGAAGCUUUUCCUGAUGCUUGCCUCUCCAGAACAUCGUGGUCAUCUUCCAUGGGAACUGCCUAGUGUCCCCAGUUCUUUCUGUCACUGCUAACCUGUAGAGGUAUGAUGGCUAGAGUCCCAUCCCACUGGCCUGGCAUGGUCUGCCCUCCACCCCAGUAGUUCCUUGGUGUCCAUGCUUCAGUCUGUCUUGCUAAC